rnacentral:lncRNA from 1 species
UUUCUUUAAGGGUUGAAGGUUAAAAGAGUCUCGGUCUUUUUAUGUUUGUUAGUUCUGUUGAGUCGAUUUGAGGGAUUUUGGAAGGUAUGUAGGAUGCAGAUUUGAAGACCCAAGGUCCAAAAUUUGUUAUGGAGUGAUGAUGAUUUUAUUAGAAAUCGGGAUUUCGGUUAGAAGGUUGUUAAGAGUUGUCGUUCUGUUAUGAAAGUUG